rnacentral:rRNA from 1 species
CAGUAACGGCGAGUGAAGCGGCAAAAGCUCAAAUUUGAAAUCUGGCUCCUUCGGGGUCCGAAGUUGUAAUUUGUAGAGGAUGCUUCGGGUGUGGCCACGACUUAAGUUCCUUGGAACAGGACGUCAUAGAGGGUGAGAAUCCCGUCUUGGGCCGUUGGUCCACGCCCGUGUGAAGCUCCUUCGACGAGUCGAGUUGUUUGGGAAUGCAGCUCUAAGCGGGUGGUAAAUUUCAUCUAAAGCUAAAUAUUGGCCGGAGACCGAUAGCGCACAAGUAGAGUGAUCGAAAGGUUAAAAGCACCUUGAAAAGGGAGUUAAACAGCACGUGAAAUUGUUGAAAGGGAAGCGCUUGCGGCCAGACUCGAGCGCAGGGUUCAGCGGGUGCGUGUCACCCGUGCACUCCCUGUCGCCCGGGCCAGCAUCAGUUCUAACGGCCGGUCAAAGGCCCCCGGAAUGUGUCGUCUCUCGGGACGUCUUAUAGCCGGGGGUGCAAUGCGGCCCGUCGGGACUGAGGAACGCGCUUCGGCUCGGAUGC